CCUUCAAAAAUAUAUCAACCUCAUUUUUCAGCUGGGAUCUAUUCAUACGGAGUAUAAGCGAAAACAAAUUACCAUUCGACAGCAAAACAAAAACUACAUACAUGAGCAAACAAACAAUGCAUUCAGAUUUCUUUGCAUACCAAUAAAGUGCACAAACAAAAUACGAUUCGCUAUGCAAGAACGGGCAUGACCAAAGCCGAAGCAGCGCCGUCAACAAUGACAAAUUUUCGUGUGCGGUAAACAGCUAAAACACGUGUUCGGAUCUUUGUUCGCGUACGCAGGCAAUUGUUAAAGUAAAGAAGAUUUGUGCAAGAAUUUGUGUUUAUUAUUUAAAACUGCGUUUAAUCGGUGAUCGGUGUUAUUAAUAAGUGAAUUUGAAAAAAUUAAAUUGUGCUCUGUAAAGUGAAUUAGUUUACGUAUGCAAGUGUUAAGCAAAAUAUGAAAUGGAAAGAAAUGAAAAGUGUAAUAAAAUUAGUGCCAAUAAAAUGUAAUUAAAUGGAAUUAUUCAUGUUUUUAGAAAAAAUAUAUGGUCUUUAGGUAAAGUGCUUCGAAAUAAUCGUAUUUGUAUUAUUCGAUCGUAAUAAAUAACAAAAAAACCAUUUCAUCAAUCAGCUAAAUUAUCUACGUACCAGAAAUACCAACGGGGUGUGUGUAUUGUUUGCGGAGGUGCGGUUAAGGUUCCAUAUAACAAUGUCGGAGCAUAGCUGCUCCCCAUUUGCUUGUGUUGUCUUUGUGUGACCUUUGAUUGCGGGUCGAUAUUUUCUUUACGCUUCCACGUUUCGAGAAUCCAAUUACAACAACAACACGAAUAUACCAAUUUCGAACACUAAAUGUAACUUCGCAGGCCUUGACGCUGACAAUUUGAAAGUACUGAUCAACUCCAUCUACACACUCAUGGAACAGUAUAAAGUUGAGGAUACAGUACUGACAAAUGAAAGCCACCCAUCACAAAUAAUUUUGCUUAAAUAGGAUGACAAAUUUUUAUUGAGUGGAUCGAGGGAAUACAAUCAUGAAAGUGACUCGAACGAGCUUCCACACAUGUGCUCCCAAGGUUUCAUUAUACGUUGAAUACUGUGAAUAUAUAAUAUUGGCUUACAAUCCACUUUCCGUCAUUGACAUAUGAGAAUCUCCGCUUGACGUAUAGCCAUCCCAUUCCCGGAACCACUAACUCUUCAAACUCGCUUAUAUGCAAAAGCACUACAGCAUGCUGAUUGCCGAGUGGUAUUACACACAAAUCAAGCGGCAUGUGGAGAAGCUGCGCUUCAUUAUUCAUUAUAUAACCACAUAUCUUUAUUUUGUGAUAACUAAGACUUUUUUUAAGAUAAACAAAACCAAAAUUAAAAGUAAAAAAUAGUAAAUGAAAGCAGUCGAAAGACAUUCAUGAAUAUACUAAACAAUUUAGAAUAACAAUAAUGAACUAUACUAUAAAUGUACAUAAAUGAUGUGUC